CCGGCGGGCAGGGGGCUCCUCCGGCCGCGGCUGAGCCCCUGAGGAAGCGAGGAGGUGUCCUCCGGGUGGAAGGGAUGAGGGACAGGCGCCUCGGCCCUAAAGCGGCUCCUCCCGGGAGAAGCGGUGCUAGCUGUCUGUCUGCUCCUGUUGGUCUCAAACCCCCCUGCCCUGGGCCUGCAGAGGAUGCUGUGAAAGAAAGCAGAUUUGGACAAAGGGAGCUGCUGUUGGAAGACGCUGACCACCUUCAUGGGCAUUCCAGAACACCAGUGAAGUGCCGGGUGGCCGUGUGGUCCAGCUUCUCCUGGCUGUGACGCAGCGGCCAUGCAAGGCAUCCGUCAAUACAAGCGCUGACCGGAGAGCAAGGACGCACGGAAUCGCAGAAGGUCCUGAGUUGGAAGGGGAACACAAGGAUCAUCGAGUCCAACUCCUGGCUCCACACAGGACCACCCCAAAAUCAGACCCCAGUCAAAUACGCAUAUGGAAACUUAGAUGUAAACCCUGAACUGCCUGCAAAGGAAACUUCGUAGACUUCAGUUGAAGCCCAAUUUUUACAGAACGUAUCAUCAUGGACAGUCUCAGCUCAAGGCUGAGUUUGAACAGAACAGCACAGCUGUUGCACCGUCUGCAAUGAAUACAGAUUGGAAUGAAGGGAAAGAUCUGUGGCAGAGCUCAACAACGGCAGCAUAAGAAUUACUAAAAAUAGGCACAGCAGGAAUGUCUACUUUAGGACAAUUUCCAUUAAUGCCUCACAUUAACCUCUCCCACACGCAGGGAUCCACAGGUGAAAUCCCACAGUUGCCUCACAGCGGCUUAACCGCAGGUGGAAUAGGGCGCCCGGGGCGCUGGGCAGGGUGCCGCCGCUCCUUUUGGCAGCGGCCUGCAGCGAAAUCAGAUCACGGUGAUUAAGGAACCAGCCCCUGAGCUGGUUCCGUGGCUGCGGAUUCAGUCGCAUCGGCGGGGAGCUGCACCCCUGCUCCUGAGAAAAGGUUCGCUCGGCAACUUGGGCGAGAGAAAGGGCGAGACACCUGAGAGCGACUGCGUUCAUUGAACGUUGAAGAAUUUGGGUUUUUAUUGCAAGAAAUCUUCCUUGAAAUGGGUGCCAUCAAAGCCAUGACAGAAAACAAAAGCAAUGCUAGACAACAAUUUAAAUUACAAUCUCUAGAAAUAUUCUACAUCCCUACAUGAUGGUUGUUUCUAUGGUUUUUUUCCUGACAG